rnacentral:lncRNA from 1 species
AUGGAGGGCUGUGGCGGGUCAGCAAGCCUUUGGGGGCCUCCUGAGGGGGGACGUGGGAGGAGAGGAAGCCGAGGGUCUCUGGCUCUCCCUCGGGUCUCCCUGACUCCCCUGGCCCACUGGCCUCCACUCCAGGCGCCAGCAGAGAGGAGGAAGGGCAGGACCGAGCCGCCCUUGAGAUGGGGCUCGAAGCCUUCCUGCCGGCGUAGAGAAGCAGGGGCUUCGCCGGACGGACGGCUGGUCCGAGAGAAGGACGAGAUCUCUAAGCACCUAAACCAAGCUGGAAGAGAGAAGAAGCGCGCGGGCGAUCGGGAGCGCCCGCCUGCUAUGGGUUAGACCCGAUGUGCCCCGACGUCCAGACGCGCGUGUGUCUUUUAGCACUAGACUUAGAGGGGGGCUCUCUGUCGCACACGCCUGCAGUGGGUUUGCAGAACGAAGCACUUUUGAUGUGGGGGCCCUGGUGGUGCCGCCCCCCCGCCCCAUCCCAACCCUGCCCAAUUUGCUAUAAUAUUAUUUUAUACACACAAAAGAAACCAUUGUUUUGGUUGCAGAAAUGUUCUAAUUUGUUUUUGUCUGUCUAUAAACUAUUCUAAGUACUAUUUUUGUUAUAAUUCAAAAUAGAUAUUUAGUCUGAAGGGUUUUUGUGCUGUUAAAUAUUUGUUAUUUAGUAAACUCUGGCCCCGCGCCAUGAUUGUAAACGUGGUUCAGAAAUAUUAAUGUUGUUAGCGUGGUCUUGCCUUUAAUAUUGAGCAAAGAGCGCCCUUCCGUGGUUGCCUUUCGUGUCGUCUGUCAUGGAGCUGGCGCUGUGUGUGUGAGCGUGGUCUCUGUUGUGUGGUUUAAUAUGUAUAUAAUAUUUCGUGAGAUAUAUUCCCAGUGAAUGUUGUGUGACGUGAUCUCAAACAUAAUCCAUCCAUGUGGCUAUUUUAUAGACUUCCAUAAUAAAAAGAGGGGACUCUGCCUGGCCUUGCUUCUC